GAAUGUAGAGAGCUGCUCACUGAGGACCGCUGUCCGUUCUGUUCAAGGCCUUUUAUUGAAACAUGAGUUAAAAUGGAUUUCGGUGAUUUGAGGCUUGGAUUUGAGGUCUGAAUUUGAGGUAGCGUAGCGAUUUCGGCAGAUUGCAUACCAAUUCAAGGAUAGUUGAGAGCAAGAUUACCGUAAGGUCUAUUCCUUCAUUUCUCUAAGAAGCAUGCCAAGUGGUUGGGUUGUGGUAAAAAGCGAUGAUCUUGCACCGAAAUUGGCUCACUGCAUGUGACGUUCAAGCAUUGAAGUGUUACCACAAGCCUUCAUAUUGCUUGGCUUUAGACAUUCCUCGAGAUGUGCAUAGCAACUGUCUACAAAACGCAGUGUGAUAAAGGACUAAGGAGCAGCUUGCGUCGUACACAUUGCAAAAAUGAAGUAAUCUAAAUUGAAUUGUCUGCAGAAGGCCAUCGAAGACGUGGACUACGAAAAUGACUAAAGCAAAGCUGUUAUUUUUCCUGGCCUUAUGUGUUUCUAUCCUUGGCACAGUAUUCAUCCACCUUCUUCCCGUCUUCUCUCCUCCUCCUCCAACCCCAUCCUGGAGGACUUGUAUCUUCACAUUAUGCCUUAUUCUCUUUGCUUCUGCCACUAUCUACCUUCUAAGACGGUUAUGUUUCUAUCAUUUCCUGGUAUUCAUAUCACUUUCCCUAUUCCUCACCAUAUGUCUUUUGACAUAUAUAAUCUUCUUCUCAUCUCCUCCACCCGCUCCACCUACAAACUACAGGCCUCUCACCUUUGUUUCCCUUCCCAUUCUCUUCGUCUGUUAUCGUGUUAGGCAUCAAGUCUUCGGGAGAUACUUCAGAAUGGUUAAGAGCCGAGACGACACCGCGAACAGCGCCCUCGGGAGCCAGAAGGCGGUGACUGCCGCCGGCCGGCCGGACCGGGCCGCGCCGCCUGCCGAGGGCCUCCUGGUGGACCUGCAGUGCCCCAUCUGUCUGGAGACGUUCAGCAGGGCCACCACCCUCGGCUGUGGCCACACCUUCUGCGCCGCCUGCCUGCAGUCAGCGCACGAUCGGGGUGGCAAGUCGUGCCCCAUGUGUCGCAGGCCCAUCAGGUCGGUCGUGCCUUCCGUCACAAUAGAAAAUAUUGUCAGAAGCGUAAGCGCCAGAUUUUGAGCGAGAACUGAAGUGUGAGAAGUGCCUCCAUAAAUGGAACCUUCGGUGACGUGUCAAUGCAUGGCGCGCCUCAGAACCGCUGGAAGCUCAGGUCGAGAUGAAAAACAAUUAUGCCAGA